CCAAGGCCCUUGGCAGAGUCUGCCUAAGUGGAUAGAUGUGGAGGUGCACAAGUCCCUUUGACCCACAGUCUCCUCUCCAAGCGCAGAGGAGGCUGCAGCAGGGCAGCAUCUUUACCAGCGCACAGUAGCAGUGAGUGAUCAGUGGCACAAGAGGCUCCGUCCCGCACCCGUCUGAUCUCAGGCCCCGAGAAGAUGCGAAGGCAACUAUGGCUUGUGGUGAGAAUCUUCAGCAUUGAACUCAGGGCCCAUCUGAGUUACGUCAAGAAGCUUGAACUUUAUGCCAGGUCGACUGGGACAUUCAUUUGACACACAGAGCUAACACUGGUCCAGCUUGAGCCUGCACCCAGCACCUGGGGUUCCCUUGAGAGGACACCCAGCUCUCACUGCUCUGCUCCAAUCCUAGACCUGCCAGAGACUCUGUCUGAUACCUAGCACCAGGCCUGGACAGUCUGAGUCUCGUGGGGUGCUCCAAACACACAUGAAUCUCUGCCUGGUAUAUUUGGACACUGGCAGUGUCCAUUCAGCACUAAGCACAUAGCACUCGCUUUAGGUGCAACACAGUCUACAUCCUGUAUUUUACCAGAGUCCUCGGCAAAGUCUCUGCCUGGUUAAGACAGUGACCUGCCUAAUUAACAGCAGUGUUUAAGUAAGGGUCUGCUUUUUUGCCUGGUGUUCUGGAUGCCCAUGAGACACUACCCAGCACCCUGUGCCUUCCCUGAACCUGCUGAAAUCUCUCCACAUCAGCCUGGGAGCACCUGCAUCUCCUUCAGGGGUUAUGCUUUUAAAGAAUCUACAAUCUGAUGAAACAGACCAAGUAUAGAUCACCAUUAUGGAAAUUCUCAAUUUUUCUCAAGAAUAAGAGAAGUUCUGCAAUAGAAGUAUAAUUUGAGAGGUACAUUGUUUUCUUCUAACACUGUAUUAGACAACGGUUUCUCAUACGUUGUGCUGCUGCAUUGCAUCAAUUCUGUUCUUCAGUCCUGCGCGUGUAGCUUUUGCUUUUUUGCCCUGAGGAAGCAGUAGCAAAGACUCAAAGAGUUAAGCAGAAAGGAGUUUUUCAAGAUGCAUACCGGUUUCAUUCCUUUCCUGGAUUCCAUCCAGGCUACCUACACCUGGGAUUACUUGUGGCAUCUGUAGAAGGAUUAUUCAGAACUUCUCUGAAAACAUAACAUGACUUACAAAUUGUGGCAUGUUCCUCAUUGUCCAGGAAAAACGACCAUUUAUUGUUCAGUGCGGUUUAGCUUUAAACUCGCAGAAAUGAUGAAGACAAUAACUUGGCAUUUACAGGAACUGUUUUAUAGGAAAGCACAUAGCUUCAAAUGAGUAUUUUAACUGCCUGGACAGCCACAAUUAUAUUUCAUAGGAGCUCAUAUGUAUGUAAGUAUGGAUAUCCUAAACUCACUCUUUUCUUCAUCCUUUUUUGAGUCCAGAAUGCAAGAGCUAGUGAGUGAAUUUCAUGUAAUUUCUUUCAGAUUACAUUGGUACAGUACUAUUGAUUUUCCAUUAUUUGUAUUUCCCUAUAGGAAUGCUGUAACAAUAGUACUAUGUACAUUUUAAAUAUAUACAUAAACAUAGUUACAAAGGUUCAAUAGCAGCAUCUCUUAUUUUAAUGGCUAUGAUCAGAAAAAUAUUAAUCUAACAGCCAAAAAUUUCUGUCAUAAUGGAAGUAUUGU